AUGAGCGACGGCCGGGUCCACCCGGCGGCCACCAGCUCCGACUUCUCCGGCGAGUACGCCUACUCCUCCUCCGACCCCUCCUCCAGCCCGCUCUACAGCUUCCACUUCGAGAAGCCCAUCCCGCCGCCUCCCCCGCAUCCCCAGAAGCCGCCGGGGCCGCUGCCCGGCACGUACGUGGUGCAGGUGCCCAAGGACAAGGUCUUCCGCGUGCCGCCGCCGGAGAACGCGCGCCUCUUCCAGCACUACACGCGCCGCGCCAAGCGCCGCGCCGGCUGCUCCUACCUCCGCGCCUGCCUCUACGCCGUCAUCAUCGUCCUCUCCCUCGCCGUCCUCCUCGCCGCCGCUGUCGGGGCCGUCUACCUCGCGUUCAAGCCCAGGCAGCCGGCCUACUCCGUCGUGUCCCUCGCGGUAUCCGGCCUCGCCGGCGUCGGCAACGCCUCGGCCCCCAGCGCGCUCUCGCCGGGGUUCGCCGCGACCGUCCGCGCCGACAACAGCGCCAACGCCAAGGUCGGCGUGCACUACGACGGCGCCGGGAGCCGCGUCGCCGUGUCGUACGAGGGCGUGCGCCUGGCGGACGGCGCGUGGCCGGCCUUCUACCAGGCGCCGGGCAACGUCACGGUGUUCGUGGCGAGGGCCAAGGGCGCCGGGAUACGGUUCGCGGAGCGCGAGCGCGGGCAGAUGGCCGCGGCGGAGCGGCUCUGGUCGGUGCCGUUCGACGUGGACAUCACGGUGCCCGUGCGGCUGCAGCUCGGCGGGGUGAGGACGUGGGCCGUGCCGGUGACGGUGCGCUGCGCCAUGGCGGUGGACCGGCUCGCCGCCAGCGCCAAGGUGGUGUCCAGGUCGUGCGACGUCAAGGUGCCGUUCCUCUUCUGGAGGAACUGA
rnacentral:rRNA from 1 species